AACCCGGUGUUUUUCAACACCACUAUCUAAUUGAACCACAUAUAGG
rfam:Gonium pectorale scaffold00014, whole genome shotgun sequence.